rnacentral:rRNA from 1 species
GCCUGUGACCAAAUAAAUCUGGAACACACGAGAUAUCGCCAGAUCUUGGAAGCUAAGUAGGAUUUUGAGCCUGGUUGGUGCUUGGAUGGGCGAUCACUGUGGACAAACAGGUAUCAGAGGUU